UUCCUCUGCUUAUGGAAAAUGAGCCAGGAACAAGCUGGACACAGGAGAUAGAUGGAGGCCUUCUCUCCAACUGUUGACACCAGCCAAACAGGAUAAAUAGUUCAUAUUGUAAUGAUGACAAUGAUAAUGAUGAAGAGAAAGCAUUGACCCAGAUGAAAAAAAGUUUUGAUUUUAAGCUCUGCUUAAGCCCUGAAGUCCUGCUGUCAGAGCCACUUACAUGAUCCGAGGGACUUUUGACUACAAAGACGGGAAUUUAAGGAUCGGCUACAUAAUUUAUGGGGCAAAGUGAAAAUGUGGGGCUCCUCGUUAUUGAGAAUUUCAAAAUGGUGACAGCAGAGCACUAAACCAAGUGCACACCCAUGAAGCCGGCCCUGCUUACUUUACAAAUGGGCGAACUGAGGUCCAGGACAGUAGAGCAAGAUGCUACCAGCCCACAGCUGGGACUCCACAGUCAGUGGCUGGAGGAAAUUCAGAUCCCUUUCUUGUACCAAACUCCCCCACGCUGGAGACAUUGCAUUAACUUCAGAAUGUGGCCAAGCCAGUCCCUUGCAGAAGGAGGCGCCUCUGCUCUGAGCUGGGCAUCUAUGCUGACCCAGGCUUGCGUCUAGCCCACAGCCUGGUUUUUGAGUUUAUUAGUGAAAUUCAAGCAAGCUUGAAGAAACUCUUGAUUCAAUAAAAAGAAGAAUAACU
rnacentral:lncRNA from 1 species